UACGUAGGGGGCGAGCGUUGUCCGGAAUUACUGGGCGUAAAGCGUGCGUAGACGGUUAUUUAAGUCAGGUGUGAAAGCCCCGGGCUCAACCUGGGAAUGGCAUUUGGGACUGCAAGGCUGGAGUGUGGCAGAGGAGACUGGAAUUCCUGGUGUAGCAGUGAAAUGCGUAGAUAUCAGGAGGAACACCAGCGGCGAAGGCGGCGCUCUGGGCCGGUACUGACACUGAGGAGCGAAAGCGUGGGUAGCAAACAGG
rnacentral:rRNA from 1 species